GUCAGGUUGGCCGAGUGGUCUAAGGCGUCGGAUUUAAGCUUCGAUACCCAAAGGGUGCGAGGGUUCGAACCCCUCACCUGACA
rnacentral:tRNA from 1 species